GGGGGCGUAACGGCUUCGACGUGUUUGGUGAACGCGGGGUAGCGUGCCGAGGUCCGGGAAGCCUCGAAAAAAACCCGGAAUCAACACAAUUGCCAACAAUCACAUGGCACUGGCUGCCUGAGUUUUCUCACAGCCCGUCUCCUGGCCCGCCCGCCCAAGGCAGGCCUCCGAGGCGUCGACAAGUUGGGCUGGCCCGCGGCGAUGCCGUCGCGACGCGGGUGAGACAUUCGAUGGCUAGUCGGGGAGCCGGCGGGUCGCUGGCCGCUCACCCGAUGAAGCCC
rnacentral:tmRNA from 1 species